CCUACGGGUGGCAGCAGUGGGGAAUAUUGGACAAUGGGCGAAAGCCUGAUCCAGCCAUGCCGCGUGUGUGAAGAAGGCCUUCGGGUUGUAAAGCACUUUCAGUGGGGAAGAAAGCCUUGGGGCUAAUACCCUCGAGGAAGGACAUCACCCACAGAAGAAGCACCGGCUAACAUCCGUGCCAGCAGCCGCGGUAAUACGGAGGGUGCGAGCGUUAAUCGGAAUUACUGGGCGUAAAGCGCGCGUAGGCGGUCUGAUAAGCCGGUUGUGAAAGCCCCGGGCUCAACCUGGGAACGGCAUCCGGAACUGUCAGGCUAGAGUGCAGGAGAGGAAGGUAGAAUUCCCGGUGUAGCGGUGAAAUGCGUAGAGAUCGGGAGGAAUACCAGUGGCGAAGGCGGACUUCUGGACUGACACUGACGCUGAGGUGCGAAAGCGUGGGUAGCAAACAGGAUUAGAUACCCCGGUAGUC
rnacentral:rRNA from 1 species